rnacentral:lncRNA from 1 species
UGUUUUUGCCUCCUCCGGUACAUGCCAUGGCUGGGGAGAUAGUAUAUGCUGAUUUAAACCUUGCUGGGGCCAGGCUAUCACCUUCAUCUAAAGCUCACAGGAAUCUUCAAGAAUCCCCGCAGUGCCCACGCUGGCAUGGGGUCGUUCUGAAGGUCGGAUGCAUCACGGUCAUCAUCCUGCUGGUGAUGGUAGCAGUGCUGAGUGCUUGGGGUGGCUCCGGGUGCAAACUCUGCCCUGGGGACUGGAUGCUGCACAGGGAC